GACGAACGCUGGCGGCGUGCUUAACACAUGCAAGUCGAACGGAAAGGCCCUGCUUUUGUGGGGCGCUCGAGUGGCGAACGGGUGAGUAACACGUGAGUAACCUGCCCUUGACUUUGGGAUAACUUCAGGAAACUGGGGCUAAUCCCGGAUCGGAGCUCCUGCUGCAUGGUGGGGGUUGGAAAGUUUCGGCGGUUGGGGAUGGACUCGCGGCUUAUCAGCUUGUUGGUGGGGUAGUGGCUUACCAAGGCUUUGACGGGUAGCCGGCCUGAGAGGGUGACCGGCCACAUUGGGACUGAGAUACGGCCCAGACGCGUGCGGGAGGCAGCAGUGGGGAAUAGUGCACAAUGGGCGGAAGCCGGAUGCAGAAACGCCGCGUGCGGGAUGACGGCCUUCGGGUUGUAAACCGCUUUCGCCUGUGACGAAGCGUGAGUGACGGUAAUGGGUAAAGAAGCACCGGCUAACUACGUG
rnacentral:rRNA from 1 species